AAAUAGCCUACAUAUUUUAUUUCCAUAUUCUGCUUUUCUCUCACACACAUUAUUGGUGGGGCUAUUUUUAUUCUAAAAAAAACCUCCCAUAAAUUAUUAUUUUUUUUCUGAAUGCAUUAGUGGACAUAUCUACAAUGACACACUACCUCUUUCCCAGACUGCAAUACCCAUGUUAUGUUCUCAGCUGCCAGCUUAUGUAAUUUAUUGUAUAUCUUGGUGUAAAUAUU